AUUGAACGCUGGCGGAAUGCUUUACACAUGCAAGUCGAACGGCAGCACGGGGGCAACCCUGGUGGCGAGUGGCGAACGGGUGAGUAAUACAUCGGAACGUGCCCAGUCGUGGGGGAUAACGUAGCGAAAGCUACGCUAAUACCGCAUACGAACUGAGGUUGAAAGCGGGGGAUCGCAAGACCUCGCGCGAUUGGAGCGGCCGAUGGCAGAUUAGGUAGUUGGUGGGGUAAAGGCUCACCAAGCCGACGAUCUGUAGCUGGUCUGAGAGGACGACCAGCCACACUGGGACUGGGACACGGCCCAGACUCCGACGGGAGGCAGCAGUGGGGAAUUUUGGACAAUGGGCGCAAGCCUGAUCCAGCCAUUCCGCGUGCAGGAUGAAGGCCCUCGGGUUGUAAACUGCUUUUGUACGGAACGAAACGGCCUGGGUUAAUACCUCGGGCUAAUGACGGUACCGUAAGAAUAAGCACCGGCUAACUACGUGCCAGCCGCCGCUGUAAUAC
rnacentral:rRNA from 1 species